rnacentral:lncRNA from 1 species
CCCAAAUGACAAAAAUGAACGAAGGCUAUAAACCUACAGUUUUUGAGGAAGUAAAGCCAACUGUAGCCUUCAAUGAUAUCAGCUAUCUACAGCCUAUACUGAGCCUAAAAUGGGUGGAAAUGAGGGUGGUGAGAUUAUAAAAUCCCAGUGAGUAAACAGACAUCUUCAUAAACAUCUAGAGUUUAGUACAUGGAGACAAUAAAAUAAAUCAUCGUAAAUUGGGUCACAGCAUUAGAACACAUUUCAUUCAAAAUACAUAACGAGGCUUAUGAACCUUAUAAAAACUAGGCUUGUGCCAUAAAUCCAUCCUCGGGGACACCUUGGCCUAGGCAUCCUACCGAGACCACCAAGGUUGUUAAAAAUUCACAUUUCGCAUAAAACACAUUUUUUGUUAGACAUCACAGUCGUUCCUUGGCGUUGGCUGAGUUCACCAUCACGUGGUGGUUCAAUGUGAAGUGAACUCAAAUAUCACCUCAGGAGCUACCCUACACACCUCUACAAUCGAGGUGAGCACAUAUAAACGGGGUUACCGUGCCCCUCUCAUAGGCUGGUCCAUGGAACCCGCCUACUGCAGUAAGCUAAUAAUUAUCCCACCAAUCAAUAAAAUUCAAUAACAUAAUAUGGCAAUUAUAGUAAUUCACAGCCUUUCAAGGCAAACAAACAAUCUGUAUUUCAAUACAAUUGCCAACCAGCCAAUCAUGCCUGAUUUAUCAUAAGCCAAUUAAUUUAAACAAUCAAAUUGCAACAAAUAGCAGUCUCUGUGUACUCUAUUUUUCAAAAUCAUUAUUAAUUUCAAAACAAUUUAUAAAUUAAUUUCAUUGAAACACAUUUAUUCAUAAAAAAUGAAAAUUUACCUUUUUAAAUCCAUUUUUCUAUAGAAUUCAUGAAAUCAUCUAAAAGCCACCCUAGAUAAUUAAAAUGACAGUAAGUUUACUUACAAUGUUUAGAUUGUGGAUUUUCGAAGUACUUUGACUAUUGGUCCUCGGAUGCAAUUUCCUUGCCUUUAUAGGAGGACUCACCACCUUGACAUAGUACAAAAUCGAGAAACUUACUAUAUUGGAACUAAAUCGAAAUUAAACUAAUUUAGACUACUAAUGCAUGAUAUGGAAUGCAAAAUGCACGGGUAAUCAUCUAAACUCGGUAUUGGCCUAAUUCGUCUUAUCACCCGAUUAAUUGGCCAACGCGUUCAAUUUAGCUCCAAAUUGCUCCAUUUCUUUUCCAAUACCUUAAUUCACCAAACAUAAGUCAAAUAACCUAAAAUUUGACAAAACCAUCUUCACUUUUCUUCUUAGAAUUUUCGGUCAAUAAUGGUGCAUUAACACCGUAAUUUUUCCUACUACUUUUUCACAUCAUAAUUCAUCAUUUUCUAACCAAUUCUCUUAAAAUAAAAAUCAAAUUCAUCCUCACUUAAUACAAGGUAGGUUUGGCCAUUGAUGGGUGAUGGAGAAAAUGAAUUCUUUUCUUGUUGUUUUGCUUCUAGACAUGGUAAACUAACUAAAAACACUAACAUAACUUGAAAUCAAAUCAAUCCAACAUCAUUCUCUCUCCAUACCCAUUCAGCCAGCUAUGAAUUCACCAUGAAAAUAUGAAAUUUAACCAUGAAAAAUAAGGAGAAAUGCUUAAGGAAAAUAGAUUUCAAGUUUAAAUUGAGAAAUCUUACCUUUUUCACUUGUUUUCCUUGAUUUUCCACACUUUUUCUCUUGAAAUUCUCCACCUAGGGUUUGUUCUUUCUUUCUUUCCCUCUUUUCCUUGCUUGGCCAAAUAUUUGGAGAGAAAUAAUAGGUUUAUAGGCUGAUUUUUAAAGGCAAUAAUAAAAUAUUCUAAGCUUGACACAUGGCAUGUUUCCAUUGGUCCAUUUUUAAAACUUAAAAAAUUUUAAAAUUUUUAUCUCCAUCACAUAUAUUUUCUCACUUAUCCAUAACAUAAAAAGUCAAUGGAUGAAUUCUAUGAGCAUGACAAGUGUUGGUGGUGUAAAAUUACAAUUUUGCCACUAGGGUGGUAAAAUUACCAUUUUACCCCUAUGCUCAAAAAAAUACCGAAAUUAAAAUUUUUCACUUCUCAACCUCAAAUCAUACUCCAAUAAGUCAAAUGUGAUCAAAAUCUUUCAAAAAUUUCCCAUUUUAUCCUCGAGUGGCAAAAUUACCAUUUUGCCCCUAGAUAGUGAAAUUUUUUGUUUGACUCCAAAUUGAUCCUUGAACCCCAAAUCACCAUUUUAAAUCAUUUCUGGAUUGUAAAAUUUUCAAUUUCACCUUAAAGUCUCUAUUUGAUCUAGUUCAAGGCUUAAAUCAAUUUUGUUGUACCUCUAGAUACAAUACCGACUUUUGUAAAUUUUUUGGGACUCUCCUAGCAGCAAACAUGCUAUCCAUCACAUGUAUGUCAUGACAAGUACUUUUUAAGAUGAUAGUAAGGUUACUCACAAUGUCUAGAGUGCGGAUUUUUGAAGCACUCUGACUACUGGUCCUCGGAUGCAAUUUUCUUGCCUUUAUCGGAGGACUCACCACCUUGACAUAGUACAAAAUCGAGAAACUUACUAUAUUGGUACUAAAUCGAAAUUAAACUAAUUUAGACUACAAAUGCAUGAUAUGGAAUGCAAAAUGCACGGGUAACCAUCUAAACUCGAUAUUGGCCUAAUUUGUCUUAUGACCCGAUUAAUUGGCCAACGCGUCCAAUUUAGCUCCAAAUUGCUCCAUUUCUUUUCCAAUACCUUAAUUCGCCAAACACAAGUCAAAUAACCUAAAAUUUGGCAAAACCAUCUUCACUUUUCUUCUUAGAAUUUUCGAUCAAUAAUGGUGCAUUAACAUCGUGAUUUUUCCUACUACUUUUCAACACCAUAAUUCAUCAUUUUCUAACCAAUUCUCUUAAAAUAAAAAAUCAAAUUCAUCCUCACUCAAUACAAGGUAGGUUCAGCCAUUGAUGGGUGAUGGGGAAAAUGAAUUCUUUUCUUUUUAUUUUGCUUCUAGACAUGGUAAACUAACUAAAAACACUAACAUAACUUGAAAUCAAAUCAUUCUAACAUCAUUCUCUCUCCAUACCCAUUCGGCUAGCCAUGAAUUCACCAUGAAAACAUGAAAUUUAACCAUGGAAAAUAAGGAGAAAUGCUUAAGGAAAAUAGAUUUCAAGUUUAAAUUGAGAAAUCCUACCUUUUUCACUUGUUUUCCUUGAUUUUUCACACUUUUUCUCUUGAAAUUCUCCACCUAGGGUUCUUGUUCUUUCUUUUCUUCCUUUGUUCUUCUUUGGCCGGCCA